rnacentral:rRNA from 1 species
AUCAAACGCUGGCGGCGUGCCUAAUACAUGCAAGUCGAACGGGGAAAGCUUUCGGGUGAGUACUAGUGGCGCACGGGUGAGUAACGCGUGGAUAAUCUGCCUUAGAGUGGGGGACAACUAGUCGAAAGAUUAGCUAAUACCGCAUAAGACCACAAGAACUGCGGUUCAAGAGGUCAAAGGUUUUUCGCUCUAAGAUGAGUCCGCGUAAGAUUAGCUAGUUGGUGAGGUAACGGCUCACCAAGGCAACGAUCUUUAACUGGUCUGAGAGGAUGAUCAGUCACACUGGAACUGAGAACCGGUCCAGACUCCUACGGGAGGCAGCAGUAGGGAAUAUUGCACAAUGGAGGAAACUCUGAUGCAGCGACGCCGCGUGAGUGAUGAAGGCCUUCGGGUCGUAAAGCUCUGUCGCAGGGGAAUAACACAAUGAAUGUACCCUGUAAGAAAGGAUCGGCUAACUUCGUGCCAGCAGCCGCGGUAAGAC